GACGAACGCUGGCGGCGUGCUUAACACAUGCAAGUCGAACGGAAAGGCCCUGCUUUUGUGGGGUGCUCGAGUGGCGAACGGGUGAGUAACACGUGAGUAACCUGCCCUUGACUUUGGGAUAACUUCAGGAAACUGGGGCUAAUACCGGAUAGGAGCUCCUGCUGCAUGGUGGGGGUUGGAAAGUUUCGGCGGUUGGGGAUGGACUCGCGGCUUAUCAGCUUGUUGGUGGGGUAGUGGCUUACCAAGGCUUUGACGGGUAGCCGGCCUGAGAGGGUGAACGGCCACAUGGGGACUGAGAUACGGCCCAGACGGGAACGGGAGGCAGCAGGGGGGAAUAUGGAACAAUGGGCGGAAGCGUGAUGCAGAAACGCCGCGUGCGGGAUGACGGCCUUCGGGGUGGAAACCGCUUUAGCCUGUGACGAAGCGUGAGUGACGGUAAUGGGUAAAGAAGCACCGGCUAACUACGUG
rnacentral:rRNA from 1 species